rnacentral:rRNA from 1 species
GAUGAACGCUGGCGGCGUGCCUAAUACAUGCAAGUCGAGCGAACAGACGAGGAGCUUGCUCCUCUGACGUUAGCGGCGGACGGGUGAGUAACACGUGGAUAACCUACCUAUAAGACUGGGAUAAUUUCGGGAAACCGGAGCUAAUACCGGAUAAUAUAUUGAACCGCAUGGUUCAAUAGUGAAAGACGGUUUUGCUGUCACUUAUAGAUGGAUCCGCGCCGCAUUAGCUAGUUGGUACGGUAACGGCUUACCAAGGCAACGAUGCGUAGCCGACCUGAGAGGGUGAUCGGCCACACUGGAACUGAGACACGGUCCAGACUCCUACGGGAGGCAGCAGUAGGGAAUCUGCCGCAAUGGGCGAAAGCCUGACGGAGCAACGCCGCGUGAGUGAUGAAGGUCUUCGGAGCGUAAAACUCUGUUAUUAGGGAAGAACAAAUGUGUAAGUAACUAUGCACGUCUUGACGGUACCUAAUCAGAAAGCCACGGCUAACUACGUG